CCUAAUAGUCACCUGGAUGAUCAGGCACAGAAGGCAGCAAGAAAGAAGCAUGUCUCUGUGCAAGAAGCAGGGUCUCGCUUUUCAGGGCCCCCUGCCUAGCCCCAGUCCCAGCAGAUUGGCUAGAACUGAGGCCUGAUGCCUGGUGCUGCCUCUGGGAGCACAAGGGCUCCUUCUGUUCCUGGAUUCAACUCCUCAGGGACAGCUACUGGGGCUCCAGGCACGUUGCUCAUCAUUCUAACUGGCUCACAGGGCAGCCAGAUUUUCUCACAGAUAAUGAGCCUGUAUAAUUUACAUCAAGACUAAAUUAUGCAUUUAACAACGUGUUGUUCAGCAGGGAUAAACUGCCUGGUUUGUGAAUUGCUUUUCUUCCCACAGGAGGGAGGUACAACAGAGGGAGUGGAGACGGGGUGCACUCCACACACCUUCCAGUUAUGAGGGGUCUGGAAAAGUCUGGAAAGAAAGGAAUUGAAAUAGCAGACAUCCACACUGAAGCUUUUCCUCUGAAAAAGGAAAAUAAUGUGACCAAAUAAUUUAUCAUCCAUCCAAGAACAUUUUUGAGUACUCUUAAAAAUUACACCAGAACCACAGGAAUAAACCACAGCUGCUCUGGAAGGGUCCUGGGCAAGCUGGACCUAAGAGCACCCCAGAAAUGAAAGUCUUUGUUUCUUUUUAAAAAAUUGUUGACAUCACUGAACAGAGCUCAGUGUGCAGCCCACUGUAUCAAGUCCUAGACCAGCCAACGAAAGCUGCGUUGAACCUAUCCUGCAGCAGAAACACUGGUGAAGAAGCCUGGAGAAACAGAGGCCUGCAGUACCCAGUAACUAACCAGGCUGCACGAAUGGAGCAUGAGAACACCCUACAGCCUGUUAUUUGCUGCAUGUUUCUACGGGCACCAGCAAAGCACAACUUCUAGUAAUGGGAUCAGUAACCCAAGUGACGGAACUGAAAAGGCAAGUCUGAAUUUAUCUCCAUCUGUCAUGUUCCAGUGAACAAUGAAAGCACAGUAAAGGGAAACGCUGCUUCUUGCAUGUUUGUGCCAGUCCUUCCCUGCUAGGUACUAUUAUUAGCAGCAUUAAUAAAUGCCUCUGACUUGCAGUAAAGGUUCAGAAUGCUGGAGAGUUACAGGGCAUGCCAAACACAUAAACUGCCUGCCCUCAGGGCUGAUGGGCACGAAGGCUAUAAGAUGAAGCCCAAAUGGCAGAAACAUUCUGACCAGGGAGGAGUGAUUGCAGGUGAGGUAGGGAGAUUUUUUUUCCAGGGCUGUGCUGGAAAUGAAAGAGACAAGCCUUCGCGCCCACUAUUUGGCUGCUCAUCCUAUUCUAUUCUUGGGAAAUCAUUGGAGAGAUGAGAGAAGACAAGUGACAGUCCACUUUGAAUGUCACCUCUACCAUCCUGGAGCCUUGGGAGAAAGCUAAAGAUGUGUCCAGCCUUAUGGCUAAAUAAGGUUAAGCUGGGACAGAGACUGCUCAUUGUUCUCCAGAGGCUAUACUCUAACUUUUAGAAACACAGCUCUGAGUUAGCAGGGAACUCUUAAGACAUGGGACUCCCCAGGGGUGAGCUAGAGACACCCACCCGGGACUCUGUGGCCGUAGGUGUGGUCACAGGAUUGGGCUCUGGCCAACGGGUUGAGCACAGAAUCGAUGAGCACAACUUCCAAAUCACAGUGUUUUUGGUGGUGGUGGUUGUUGUUGUUGUUGUUUUAAUACAGAAACACCAAGCCUUCCAUUCUUACUUUUCCCCUCCCACUGGCUGGAAAAUUGGAAGAACUGAAGGAGCCACCUCAGGCCCAGGAAAAAAAACCACAUUCUGAAAGUUGCACGUCUAUCCAGCCAGCAACCAACCACACCAGCUCUAAACCUCUCACCUUCCUCUGCUCCAUUGCAUGGAAUAAAAGCAAACUUCUCUCCUACUUAAGGCACUCUGUUUUGGAGUCCCUUUCUUAUAGAAGCUUAUCUGAUACCACAUUCACAGAUGUGGCUUUGAACUUGAGUAAGAGAGAAGUGUCCUGUGUUUGUAAAAGGUUAAAAGUUUAUCCACAUUGCCUUCCUCUUGUUCCUCUCUCCGUCCCUCACCUGCUGGGCUCUAGCUGGACCGGCCACUUUUCUGUUCUUGAACUCCUUCACUUCUUCCCCACCUCAGAGUCCUUUGCCAGGAACUCUCUGUCUUGUCACUCUUCCCUUGGUUGACUCCUCACCCUCAGUUUACAAGUCACAUUCUCAGAGAGACUUUCUUUGACCACCCUAUAUAUAUUCAUUUUCUAUGGUACAUAACCAGUGACUGUAAACUUAGCAGCCGAAACACCACAAGUUUUUUUUUUUUUUUUUGAGACAGAGUCUCACCUUGUCGCCCAGGCUGGAGUGCAAUGGCACAAUCUCGGCUCACUGCAACCUCUGCCUCCUGGGUUCAAGUGAUUCUCCUGCCUCAACCUCCCAAGUAACUGGGAUUACAGGCGCACACCACCACACCUGGCUAAUUUUUGUGUACCUUUAGUAGA
rnacentral:lncRNA from 10 species